rnacentral:rRNA from 1 species
CCAGCACCCCGAGUGGUCGGGACGAUUAUUGGGCCUAAAGCAUCCGUAGCCGGCCUUACAAGUCCUCCGUUAAAUCCAGCUGCUUAACAGAUGGGCCGCGGAGGAUACUAUAAGACUAGGAGGCAGGAGAGGCAAGCGGUACUCAGUGGGUAGGGGUAAAAUCCGUUGAUCCAUUGAAGACCACCAGUGGCGAAGGCGGCUUGCCAGAAUGCGCUCGACGGUGAGGGAUGAAAGCUGGGGGAGCAAACCGGAUUAGAUACCCGGGUAGUCCCAGCUGUAAACGAUGCAGACUCGGUGAUGGACCAGCUUAAUGCUCGUCCAGUGCCGCAGGGAAGCCGUUAAGUCUGCCGCCUGGGUAGUACGGUCGCAAGACUG